rnacentral:rRNA from 1 species
CCUACGGGAGGCAGCAGUGGGGAAUAUUGCACAAUGGGGGAAACCCUGAUGCAGCGACGCCGCGUGAGUGAAGAAGUAUCUCGGUACGUAAAGCUCUAUCAGCAGGGAAGAUAAUGACGGUACCUGACCAAGAAGCCCCGGCUAACUACGUGCCAGCAGCCGCGGGAAUACGUAGGGCGCAAGCGUUCUCCGGAUUUACUGGGUGUAAAGGGAGCGUAGACGGCAGAACGAGUCUGGAGUGAAAUCCCGGGGCUUAACCCCGGAACUGCUUUGGAAACUGGGCGGCUGGAGUGCAGGAGGGGUGAGCGGAAUUCCUGGUGGAGCGGUGAAAUGCGUAGAUAUUAGGAGGAACACCGGUGGCGAAGGCGGCUUACUGGACUAUAACUGACGUUGAGGCGCGAAAGCGUGGGGAGCAAACAGGAUUAGAUACCCCAGUAGUC